GGGUUCAGACCGUCGUGAGACAGGUCGGUUACUAUCUGAUGGGAGUGUUCGAAAUCUGAGAGCAAGAAUGAAAUAGUACGAGAGGAACUUUCAUUCGUCGCCUCUGGUGUAUCAGUUGUCUGACAAGGCAGUGCUGAGCAGCUACGCGGCAAAAGAUAAAAACUGAAAGCAUCUAAGUUUGAAACUUCGCUUGAAAAGAGAUUUCGUCAUAGAGCGCCGGUAAAAGACCGGAUUGAUAGGUCUGGGAUGUAAGCACGAAGGCAACGACGUGUUCAGUCCGCAGAUACUAAUGCUCAAAUCCAGAAUAAA
rnacentral:rRNA from 1 species